rnacentral:rRNA from 1 species
GAUGAACGCUGGCGGCGUGCCUAAUACAUGCAAGUAGAACGCUGAAGGAAGGAGCUUGCUCUUUCCGGAUGAGUUGCGAACGGGUGAGUAACGCGUAGGUAACCUGCCUGGUAGCGGGGGAUAACUAUUGGAAACGAUAGCUAAUACCGCAUAACAGUAGAUGUUGCAUGAUAUCUACUUAAAAGGUGCAAUUGCACCACUACCAGAUGGACCUGCGUUGUAUUAGCUAGUUGGUGAGGUAACGGCUCACCAAGGCGACGAUACAUAGCCGACCUGAGAGGGUGAUCGGCCACACUGGGACUGAGACACGGCCCAGACUCCUACGGGAGGCAGCAGGAGGGAAGCUUCGGCAAUGGACGGAAGUCUGACCGAGCAACGCCGCGGGAGGGAAGAAGGGUUUCGGAUCGUAAAGCUCUGUUGUAAGAGAAGAACGAGUGUGAGAGUGGAAAGUUCACACUGUGACGGUAUCUUACCUGAAAGGGACGGCUAACUACGUG